GUGUGGGACUCAUUCCACGAGUUCCGUGCCGCAGCUAACGCAUUAAGUGCCCCGCCUGGGGAGUACGGCCGCAAGGCUAAAACUCAAAGGAAUUGACGGGGGCCCGCACAAGCGGCGGAGCAUGCGGAUUAAUUCGAUGCAACGCGAAGAACCUUACCAAGGCUUGACAUACACCGGAAACAUCCAGAGAUGGGUGCCCCGCAAGGUCGGUGUACAGGUGGUGCAUGGUUGUCGUCAGCUCGUGUCGUGAGAUGUUGGGUUAAGUCCCGCAACGAGCGCAACCCUCGUCCUAUGUUGCCAGCACGUGAUGGUGGGGACUCAUAGGAGACUGCCGGGGUCAACUCGGAGGAAGGUGAGGAUGACGUCAAAUCAUCAUGCCCCUUAUGUCUUGGGCUUCACGCAUGCUACAAUGGCCGGUACAAAGGGCUGCGAUACCGCGAGGUGGAGCGAAUCCCAAAAAGCCGGUCUCAGUUCGGAUUGGGGUCUGCAACUCGACCCCAUGAAGUCGGAGUCGCUAGUAAUCGCAGAUCAGCAACGCUGCGGUGAAUACGUUCCCGGGCCUUGUACACACCGCCCGUCAAGUCACGAAAGUCGGUAACACCCGAAGCCGGUGGCCCAACCCUUGUGGAGGGAGCCGUCGAAGGUGGGGCUG
rnacentral:rRNA from 1 species